UUAAAUUGAAGAGUUUGAUCAUGGCUCAGAUUGAACGCUGGCGGCAGGCCUAACACAUGCAAGUCGAGCGGAAACGAGUUAUCUGAACCUUCGGGGAAC
rnacentral:rRNA from 1 species